rnacentral:rRNA from 1 species
UACGUAGGGUGCGAGCGUUAAUCGGAAUUACUGGGCGUAAAGCGUGCGCAGGCGGUGAUGUAAGACAGAUGUGAAAUCCCCGGGCUCAACCUGGGAACUGCAUUUGUGACUGCAUCGCUGGAGUGCGGCAGAGGGGGAUGGAAUUCCGCGUGUAGCAGUGAAAUGCGUAGAUAUGCGGAGGAACACCGAUGGCGAAGGCAAUCCCCGUGGGCCUGCACUGACGCUCAUGCACGAAAGCGUGGGGAGCAAACAGG